rnacentral:rRNA from 1 species
GUGGAUUAGAUACCCGAGUAGUCCACGCCGUAAACGAUGAUAACUAGCUGCCGGGGCACAUGGUGUUUCGGUGGCGCAGCUAACGCAUUAAGUUAUCCGCCUGGGGAGUACGGUCGCAAGAUUAAAACUCAAAGGAAUUGACGGGGGCCUGCACAAGCGGUGGAGCAUGUGGUUUAAUUCGAAGCAACGCGCAGAACCUUACCAACGUUUGACAUCCUCAUCGCGAUUUCCAGAGAUGGAUUUCUUCAGUUCGGCUGGAUGAGUGACAGGUGCUGCAUGGCGGUCGCCAGCA